UUCUGACUUAAUUCAUCUUGCUUGACAGCUCCUGUGUCAGCACCAAAUAUCUGUACAGCAGUACAAGCUGAAAGCCUCUGAAUCUUCUCUUGUCCAGGCGCCAGAUAAGCUUGGGGACUUUGCAUCUGCUGCUUGGACUACACGUGAGGUGCUAUUGCCAGGAGAAUAGAGCUGAGAUGUGAGCAUCGGAAUGAACAGGGUAUUUUAAAAUAUUUACACAUAGACACAACACAAACAUCUCUGAGUAACAGGGCCA
rnacentral:lncRNA from 1 species